rnacentral:tRNA from 1 species
UGUCCUGUGGUGUAAUUGGUAACACAGCAGAUUUUGGUUCUGUUAUUGGGGGUUCGAGUCCUCCCGGGACAA